rnacentral:miRNA from 1 species
CUCCAGAUGUUGCUUAACUACAACUCCCAUGAUUCUCAGCCUAUUCCAUUCAUAGAAUCAUGGGAAUUGUAGUUAAGCAACAUCUGGAG